rnacentral:rRNA from 1 species
UACGAGGGGGGCAAGCGUUGUUCGGAAUUAUUGGGCGUAAAGGGCGCGUAGGCGGUGCGGUAAGUCACCUGUGAAAACUCUGGGCUCAACUCAGAGCCUGCAGGCGAAACUGCCGUGCUUGAGUGUGGGAGAGGUGCGUGGAAUUCCCGGUGGAGCGGUGAAAUGCGUAGAGAUCGGGAGGAACACCAGUGGCGAAAGCGGCGACCUAGAACGUACCUGACACUGAACGACGAAAGCGUGGGGAGCAAACAGG